CUUUUCCAGAAUAUCAUAUACUUGGCAUCUUACAGAAUGUAGCCUUUUCCCAUUGGCUUCUUUCAUUUAGUAAUAGGCAUUUAAGGCCCCUCCAUGUCUUUUCAUAUCUUGGUAGAUCAUUUCUUUCCAAGUGCUGAAUAAUGUUCCACUGUGUGGAUGGACCACAGUUGAUCUAGGUUGCUUGUAAGUUUUGGCAGUCAUGAAUAAAGCCCCUAUAUACAUCUUUGCAUAGGUUUUUGUGUGAAUAUAGGUAUUCAACUCAUUUGGGUAAAUACCGAGGAGAAUGAUUGCUAGAUCCUAUAGUGAGACUGUGUCUAAUUGUGUAGAAAUAAAAUUUCAAAAAAUUAACAAAUAACUUUUAGAUGGUUAAAUGUUCUCCUCAAUGUGCAAAGAUUCUUACCAGUAGCCAGGGCCUUUGCAAAUGAUCGUCAGACUGUGCCCCACAAGGACUGGGCCAGGAGGGUGAGUGUGGGCUGGGAUCCAGCCUUCUCCUGCCCUAGUGUGACGCUUCACCUGCUCCACUCCCACAAAACUGCCCUGUGAGCAAGCUUAGAUCCUGCUAGCUGUCUUCUCUCUCCUUGGGUCCUGGCCUGGCAUCUUAUCCUUGGGCCUGUUCUCUCAUUUCUUCUCUUUCUCAGAGAAUUCCUCUUCUCCAAGGCUGCUGGCGGUGUGGUGGGGAAUGGAAAAAUUUUGUGUCUUUUUCAUACCCUGUAAAUGUAUCCCUUCCUCUCGAGCUCCUCAUUCUGGAGCAUGCCCUGGGCUCAUCGGAAACCCAAGAAGCCACUGCCACCAGCUCCAAGUGUCAGAUUGAAUUCUCGGGCAGGCCUCAAGGUUAAAAGACCCGUUUCCCUUGCUCUCCGACAGCUUUUAAAAGUCAGUCCCCAUAGGAAGCUCUGUUCUUCCCAGGGCAGGGGACAGAUGGUCUCCCCCUCUGCGCCCCCAUUACCCUAAAUGUGUUUGCUCUCCGCCAGUAGGUGGCAGUAUUCCCACACUUUUCUCUCUCGCAUGCGCUCUCCUAAACGCAGGAUUUAUGUAAGAGCAGAGUGGGUUCAGGGUGUUGAGAUAGUAUUAGAGGAAGCCUCCAAAGGCACAAGACUUUUUUUAUUUUGUUCAUUUAAAAACAGAUAAUCUUUUACCUUUUUUUCAUUUUAACCCUUUUCUUUUUCUUUUGAAACAAUCUCAAAUUUACAUAAAAGUUGCAAUUAUGUUUCAAGAACUUUGUUUUUUUCCUCAGAAUCUUUUGAAAGUAAGCUGCCCAUGUGAUGUCCCAUCACCACAGAGAACCUUAUCUGUAUUUCCUGCAAACAAGGACAUUCUUCUACAUAGCCACUAGAGAGCCUUCAAAGUCAGGAAAUGAACAACCGUGCACGUUCUACCAACACUGUCUGCUCAGCUGCUCAGCUUAGGCUCACUGAUGAGCCAGGAGGGAUGUAAGCAAAGGAGCUACAAACUGUGUGGGGACCACAGGCAGGCCGCCCCAAGAGGGGCCACUGUGACAUAUAGAUUGUUUUAAAUACAAGCAUAGAAAGCCAUUGAAAAAUAAAAAUGACUGGUCAUCUCAGUUGCUGAGCUGCCUUUAACAUCAGAAUAUUUCCCACUCUGUAGGUAAGUCUGGCUCACAGCUAUCUACCAUGUCUUCCUAAUCUUGGACUUCCCUUGCCCGGUAAGCAUAUUGCUUGUCCUCUAAAGUGAGAUGUGAAUUUUCUCGCCAUUUAGAGACAGUGACAAUAAAAAUCACCACCAGGUAUUGAGCGCUGUCUUUCAAUCAGCAAAAUAUACUAUGAUGCACUGAAAAUUUGCAUCCUCCUCCAAGCGCUUGCCCCCCUCCAAAUUCAUAUGUUGAAGGCCUGACCUCCAAUAUAGUCGUAUUUGGAGGUGAGGACUUUGGGGGGUAAUUAGGUUUAGAUGAAGUCAUGAGAGUGCGGCCCCCAGUGAUGGGAUUAGGGCCCUUAAAUGGAGGGGAUGAGACCAUGAGACCAGAGCUUGCUCUAGUUCCUCGCCCCAUGUGAGCGCACAGUGGGAAGGUGGCUGCAAACCAGGAAGAUGACUCUCACCAGGAGCUGAGUCUGCGGGCCCCUUGAUCUUGGGCUUCCAGAGUCCAGAACUGUGAGACAUAAAGUUCUAUGUCUACACGGUCCAUGGUAUUUUGUUGUAGCAGCCCCAGCUGACUCAGACAUACACAUAAGGUGAUAGCUAUUUCAGCACUAUAGCUCAGAUUGGCUUAGUGAAGGCCUGUCUCCUAAUCCACUAUUUUUAAUAUCAGGCUUCAUUAAAUCUGUCCAAAAAUGUAAAGAACUUACUUGGGUGAGCAGAGAGCCAGGAAGUAGGAAUACAAAGAUGAACAUUAAACCAUUUCUGCCUUUGUAGGGCUCGCUGUCUAGCCAGAGGAAAGCCGUGGGGAGCCCUUAUUGUGACAUGGCGUGAUAAGAAGGGUGAUGGAAGUGUGUACUGAGCACUGCGGAAAGGAAGACAUUAACUUAUAGGGUGGAGAACGUGGAGAGGAAAUGGGGACAGCUUUGCAGAAGAGCAGACAUUUGCACUCGGCCUUGAAGGAUGACUCUGAAUUCUGAUACCCAAAAACUGACUUCUGGAUAAACGUGGUGGAUUGACCUGUGCGUCCUCUGGCAUCCCCAUUCAAACGACCAUGUAGUGAUUUAAAAUUUGUUUUUAAAUUAUAAAUGAUAAGUCGGGGGUAGAGAUAAACGGGAUCUGUUCUGGAGGCCAAAUAACAUCUGAAUGAGUGAGAACUGACCAAACCGAGCAGGUACACCGGAAAGAGAAGCAGGCAGGGAGGGAGGAGGGGAGGAGGCUCCUGCUCUGUGCCGCAGCCCCCAGAACGGCUCAGUAUCUGGAGCUACAGGAAUCUCUGAAGAUGCAGGUGCAGCUGGGGUGGGAGGACAGGUUGAAGGUCUGCAGGAGAAGUGGUUAGGGCUCCUCCCCAUCCCAUCCCAUUAGGCAACUACUCCUCCUCUGCCCUAGCAAAAGACCAUAUGGUUACUCCGUGACGGUAUCCCGACUACCCAUGCUCUGGACUCAGGGGCGCCAGGCACAGUUAAGGCUGGAGGCUAAAAGGCCUGGAGCAGUUAAGGCAGUUAAGGCUGCUGGAUGGUGAGACACCCUAGAACCUUCCCCAGUCCUGUUCAGGAUGUCGGCAGCCACGCUCACACACCCCAAGCAGAAUAUUAGAGUUCUCUUCUGGGGAAACUGAGCAGCCCAGGAGAAAAGGCCUUCUGAUACUAACAACUGUGUGUCCACUGAAAACUACAUCCCAAUUUCCUUGCCGUGAAGCCCCUUGUCCACAAGCCCUGCCAUGCACACAGAAAUUUCAACCACUUUAUCUGAAAUUUACUCUUUAAAUAUGAACGAGCAGACAAAGAUCAUGAGACUUAGGGGAAAGUUUCCAACAUUAAAGACAGCUUAAUAACAGACAAACAACAAAGACAAAUAGAAAAAGGAAUUUGGAGGAAAUAAAUACUUUGAGAAGCAGUAAAACCUCCCCCCUCCCCCCUCCCCUGCCCCCAACAGAUAACUUUGAAAAGACUAGAGAAGACACAGGCAGACGUUCUUGCAGAGGAUAUUCCUUUUCAAAUAAAAGGCAAAGUCUUACUAGGAAAGAUAUCUUUGUCCUUCCCUAUUCUUUUUCUCCUGGAAUGUGGACAUAAUACCUGGAGGUAAGAGCCACCAUCUUGUGAUGAUGUGGAUGGAUGCCAUAAGCAACGAUGGUGGAAUAGAAAGGUGGAAAGAGCCUGGUUUCUGAAGACCCUGUUGAGACUCAUGCCUGCCUUAGAAUGUCUAUGUGUGGGCUUCUUUUUAUAUGAAAUAAACUCCUUGCUUGUUUAAGUCA